rnacentral:rRNA from 1 species
AAUGGCUGCAGUAAUAUAACUGUACAAAGGUAGCAUAAUCAUUAGUUUUUUAAUUAAAAGCUUGUAUGAAAGGUUGGACGAAGUAAAAUCUGUCUCUUUUUAAUAUAAUUAGAAUUUAAUUUUUAAGUAAAAAAGCUUAAAUUUAUAUAAAAGACGAGAAGACCCUAUAGAGUUUAAUAAUUUAUUAUAAAUAAUUAAUUUAGAUUUAUUUAUUUUAUUUAUUAUAAAAUUAUUUUAUUGGGGUAAUAAAAAGAUUAAUAUAAUUCUUUUUUUUAUAUAACAUUAAUAUAUGAAUUAAAUGAUCCAUUUUUAUGAUUAAAAGAUUAAAUUACCUUAGGGAUAACAGCGUAAUUUUUUUAAAGAGUUCAUAUCGAUAAAAAAGUUUGCGACCUCGAUGUUGGAUUAAAGAUUAAUUUAGGUGUAGAAGUUUAAAUUUUUGGUCUGUUCGACCAUUAAAUCUUUACAUGAUCUGAGUUCAAACCGGUGUAAGCCAGGUUGGUUUCUAUCUUUAUAAGAUUUUUAUAUUUUAGUACGAAAGGACCAAAUAUUUAAUAUAUAAAUAUUUAAUUAUUUUGAAUAU